GUAUCUACUUUCCAUUUCAGUUUAAACCCCAGAUUACUGAAGACUCAUGCACUGCAUGGCUGAGCUGUAAGUCACUAUAGCGCAAUGAAACACCACAAACUUGAACACAAUGUGAACAUGAGUUCAUAUAGAAACAAGCCUGACUGGGCUGGAUGCCCUAUCUAGGAGGUUUGAAGGCAUUUUUUGCAAUUUCACAUGCUUCUUACACAGGCUUUGUCUUCUCUGAAUAAGGCAUUCCAGUUACGACUAAGGAAGUAUUUCUUCUGCACCAGCCGAGUGGUAAAGCUAUAUGGUAGGUUAAAACCAUCACUUUCAAAAGAAACAGUGCCAAUAACUACAUGCAUCGAUGCUUCUGUUGAUGCUCCUAUCUAUCCUACAUUAAAGGAUUUUUUUUUUUUUCUUUCUUGUAAACCUGAACUAGCAUUCAUUACCUCGUGCCCCAAACCUUUCCAAUUCAGAACAGCGAACUCAAAAUCACAUCUGGUAGCCUCAGAAAACUACGUGCAUACCUACAUGUCAUGA
rnacentral:lncRNA from 1 species